rnacentral:lncRNA from 1 species
CAAAUGUCACAAACUCUGUGUGCAUAGAUGCCACCUGACCCGUCUGUGGAAUGAGGCAGCAUGUGGGGGCAGAAACAGCUGCUACCCCUGAGCCUUGCCCUAUUAUUGAGGCUCCAGUUACAAAGCCAAAUGCCUCCUCCCCUUCCUUCUCCAUGGUAAUUGCAGUCUGAGGCUUGAAAGAACAUCUUUUGUGAGUCAAUUUAUUUUCCAUCUCUUAAUAUACACCAUGUAUGAGAUUGCUGUCUGCUUAGGAGCAGUAAGCCAUCAAUCUGAUGAAGAAUGCUGAGGGAUUUCUAAGUCGAAAAGUUUCUCCUUGCUGUAGCUAACAAUUGUUAACCCUGUACAGAAAAAGAACCCAAGUAUGAAGCCAAAGAAAGAGCAGUGGUGAAGCCUGAAAAAAGCUCAAAGCGCGGGACAAAGGCAGAGCUGGAGCUGUUCCUGCACCUGUGGGUGUAUGGGGAGCAGGGGAGAGAAGGACUCAAUUAACUGAGCUUCAGGAUAAUCCAAGGUGAAGAAAAACAAGAGCUGACAAAGAAAAGAAAUGGCUCUGUCAUCUUCAUGAGCAUGAAGUCUUUGGACUCAAAGCACAGGACCCCGUCCCUUGGUGAGGCCUGCAGCCACAGAGAGGACUGAUGGAUGACAUUUGCAAGAAUGCCAUUCUGUGCAAAGCUACCAGACGGUUUGGCUAAAGAUGGAGGCAGGAGAAGAAAAAUUUCUCAGGUGAAGUUCUCUGGGUAAAAUGGUUUUCUCAGGCCCAGGUGUUGUGAGCAGGCACCCCAAAAUCUGGCCAUAAACUGGCCCCAAAACUGGCCAUAAAUAGAAUCUCUGCAGCACUAUGACAUGUUCCUGAUGGCCAUAAUGCCCACGCUGGAAGAUUGUGGGUUUAAGGGAAUGAGGGCAAGGAAUACCUGGCCUGCUCAGGGCGGAAAACCGCUUAAAGGCAUUCUUAAGCCACAAACAAUAGCAUGAGUGAUCUGUGUCUUAAGGACAUACUCCUGCUGCAGUUAAUUAGCCCAACUUAUUCCUUUAAUUUGGCCCAACCCUUCAUUUCCCAUAAGGGAUAUUUUUAGUUAAUUUAAUGUCUAUAGAAACAGUGCUAAUUACUGGCUUGCUGUUAAUAAAUACGUGGGUAAAUCUCUGUUUGGGGCUCUCAGCUCUGAAGGCUGUGAGACCCCUGAUUUCCCACUUCACACCUCUAUAUUUCUGUGUGUGUGUGUCUUUAAUUCCUCUAGUGCUGCUGGGUUAGGGUCUCCCCAACUGAGCUGGUCUCAGCAAGUGGCGUCCAUUCGUGGGAGCUUGAAUCCAGGUCGAAGGGUCACCGGAGCAAUGGUUGGAAUGGAAAACUAGCUGGAGGACACCCGAGUACUCUAAAAGCAAUCCCCAUGGCCAAAAUCAACAGCCAAUUUGGAUACCAUCAAGACACCUGAAACCUUAUCAUGAGCCAGAUGCCAAGGAAGAGAUUCGGGAGGAUCCUGAGGACCCCCCGGUUGCAGCCAUGUUGAGACUGAUGCUGAGGAGGACCCCAACUGUCACGAGCAACACCCGUCGACCACAGCCACCCACCUGGGGACAGAUCAAGAAGCUGUCACAGAUGGCGGAGGAAAGCGGAACAACCAGUCACAAUGAAUAAUUUAAUGGUAGCUAUGAUAGUGGUUAUCACCACUGCCUCUGCAGAUAUGGAUCCUGACUCCUGCAAGAAAUAGCUCACCGUGACAAAGCUGCCCUUGCUUUUAUCGAUUUGCAAAUCAAAGAAGGGGGACAUGUUGGGAGCAGGCCCCCCCCCCCAAAAUCUGGCCAUAAUCUCUGCAGCACUAUGACAUGUUCAUGACGGCCAUAAUGCCCACACUGGAAGAUUGUGGGUUUAUGGGAAUGAGGGCAAGGAACACCUGGCCCACCCAGGGCGGAAAACUGCUUAAAGGCAUUCUUAAGCCACAAACAAUAGCAUGAACGAUCUGUGCCUUAAGGACAUACUCCUGCUGCAGUUAACUAGCCCAACCUAUUCCUUUAAUUCAGCCCAUCCCUUCUUUUCCCAUAAGGGAUACUUCUAGUUAAUUUAAUAUCUAUAGAAACAAUGCUAAUGACUGGCUUGCUGUUAAUAAAUACGUGGGUAAAUCUCUGUUUGGGGCUCUCAGCUCUGAAGGCUGUGAGACCCCUGAUUUCCCACUUCACACCUCUAUAUUUCUGUGUGUGUCUUUAAUUCCUCU